rnacentral:rRNA from 1 species
CAGCCGCCGCGGUAAUACGAGGGGGGCAAGCGUUGUUCGGAAUUAUUGGGCGUAAAGGGUGCGUAGGCGGUUUGAUAAGUCAUCUGUGAAAUCUCUGGGCUCAACCCAGAGUCUGCAAGCGAAACUGUCGGGCUUGAGUAUGGGAGAGGUGAGUGGAAUUUCCGGUGUAGCGGUGAAAUGCGUGGAUAUCGGAAGGAACACCUGUGGCGAAAGCGGCUCACUGGACCAUUUCUGAUGCUGAUGCACGAAAGCUAGGGGAGCAAACAGGAUUAGAUACCCGGGUAGUCCCUGUCUCUUAUAC